rnacentral:rRNA from 1 species
AUGCUGCAGAGCAAGUCCUUCGUCAAGAAGACGAAGCAGGGCCGCGUCGUCAAGGUGGUCCGGGAGCACUACCUCCGCGACGACAUCCCCUGCGGCGCCUUCUCCUGCUCCUCCUGCGACGCGGCCGCGCGCCGCCUCAACGCCGACGCCGCCGCCAUCCUCGUCGUCGACACCAACGUCGUGCUCCACCAGAUCGAUUUGUUGGAGAAUCCGGCGAUUGAGGAUGUCGUGGUGCUGUCGGUGGUGCUGGACGAAGUGAAGAAUAAGAACCUCUCCGUGUACAACAGGCUCAAGACCCUGUGCACCAACACGGCUCGGAGGUUCUUCGUGUUCACCAACGAGCACCACAGGGAUACUUAUGUCAAGGAGAUGGUUGGAGAGAGCCCAAAUGAUCGUAAUGAUAGAGCAAUCCGUGUCGCUGCUCGUUGGUACCAGAGUCACCUCGGUGACAGUGCCAAAGUGCUGCUGGUCACAAAUGAUAGAGAUAACAAACGGAAAGCUACUGAAGAAGGCCUAAAUGCAGAGACAGUUGAGUCAUAUGUACGAUCGCUUGCGCAGCCUGGUUUGCUCGAUUUGGUGGUUGUCCCAAGUAGCGGAGAUGUUGCCAUGGAAGAUGUAGAAGAUCUUAGACCAUCCAAAAGGAAAAUAGUUUACAAUGAGCAUAAACCUAUGUCGGAAAUUACAUCUGGUCUGCGCUGUGGAAUUUAUCAUCAAGGGAAGCUUCGAGUUAAUCGUUACAAUCCAUUUGAAGCAUAUGUUGGAAGUGAGAGCAUUGGGGAUGAGAUUAUUAUCCGUGGGAGUUCAAAUAUGAACAGGUCCUUUGACGGAGAUAUAGUUGCUGUAGAACUCUUGCCACAGGACCAGUGGCAUGAUUCGAAGUCAUUUAUUGCUGAUGAUGAUGAAGAUGAUAAUGAAGAUGAUGUCCGGUUGGUUCCAAAUAGUGCUGAUGAUGCUCCACGAAACACAAAUUCCACGCAAUCAACAGUUGGAUCAUCAGCUGCUUCAGUCCCCAGUCGUCCAGUUGGACGUGUUGUUGGUAUCAUCAAGCGGAAUUGGAAUUCGUAUUGUGGAUCAUUGGAGCCAAUGCCCAUGCCUGCUGGUAGUGGGGGCGUUGCUCAUGCUCUAUUUGUGUCGAAAGAUCGACGAAUUCCUAAGAUUCGGAUUCAAACUAGACAACUUGGGAAUCUUUUAAAUAAAAGGAUUAUCGUUGCAGUUGAUUCAUGGGAUGUCAUGUCUCGAUACCCAUCAGGACACUAUGUGCGGACUAUAGGAGAUAUUGGCGAUAAAGAAACUGAAACAGAGGUUGUCCUAAUAGAGAAUGAUAUUAACACAAGACCUUUCUCUACACAAGUCCUUGCUUGUUUGCCGCCUUUGCCUUGGACAUUGUCACCCGAGGAUGUGGCUAAUCCUAAUAGGCAAGACUUGCGGCAUGUGAGAGUCUUUAGUGUGGAUCCACCUGGUUGUAGGGAUAUUGAUGAUGCACUACAUUGCACACCGCUUCCAAAUGGAAAUUUUGAAGUUGGAGUCCAUAUUGCUGAUGUCACUAAUUUUGUCCAUCCUGGUACCCCUCUUGAUGAGGAGGCCUCUCAAAGGGCAACUUCUGUUUAUCUUGUUGGACAACGAAUUGACAUGCUACCGAAGCCUCUAACUGAAGAUGUUUGUUCUCUUCGUGCUGAUGUUGAGAGGCUGGCAUUCUCCGUCAUUUGGGAAAUGACACCUGAUGCUGAUAUCAUAUCUUCAAGAUACACAAAGAGUGUUAUCAAGUCUUGUGCUGCAAUGUCUUAUGUAGAAGCCCAAGCAAGAAUGGAUGACAGCCGUUUGGCCGAUCCACUGACUGUAGACUUGCGGAACUUAAAUUCAUUAGCAAAGAUAAUGAGAAAUCGACGUUGCGAAAGAGGGGCUCUGACUCUUGCUUCAGCAGAAGUCAAAUUCGAAAUUGACAGUGAAACUCAUGAUCCCCUCGACAUAGGAAUAUAUCAAAUUCGUGAAGCAAACCAAAUGAUUGAAGAGUUUAUGUUGGCAGCAAAUGUUUCUGUUGCUGAGAAGAUUUUGCAGCACUACCCCUUGUGUUCAUUGCUACGGCGUCAUCCUAGCCCAACAAAGGAGAUGCUUGAGCCAUUACUCCGUACCGCCUCUUCUGUUGGCCUAAAUCUGGACGUAUCAUCCUCAAAAGCAUUAGCUGAAUCACUUGAUAAUGCGAAGAGAGAUGACCCAUACUUCAACAAGCUUAUCCGGAUUUUGGCAACUAGAUGCAUGACACAAGCAGUUUACUUUUGCAGUGGAGAUUUGAGCUUGUCUGAGUAUUAUCAUUAUGGGCUUGCAUCUGCUCUGUACACUCAUUUCACUUCUCCUAUUCGCAGAUAUGCAGAUGUUGUGGUGCAUAGGUUGCUAGCUGCUGCUCUAGAUAUUGCGAAACUUCCACCAGUCUUCCAGGAUGGUCCACAACUCACAGGCAUUGCUGACAACUUGAAUUAUAGGCACAGAAAUGCCCAAAUGGCAAGCAGAGCAUCGGUUGAGCUCCACACUCUUAUAUAUUUCAGGACAAGGCCCGUGGAUACUGAAGCUAGAAUAGUAAAGAUCAAGGCAAAUGGUUUCAUAGUCUUCGUUCCAAAGUUUGGCAUAGAAGGGCCCAUCUAUCUUAUGGCGAAGGGAGACAAAGGGGCUGACUGGGUAGUAGACGAGGUGCACCAGAAAGUAACCAAGCCUGGAACAAACAUAAGCUAUGCUGUGUUGCAGAGUGUUAUGAUCCAUAUGGAAGUGGUGGAGCCUCAGCCCCACCGCCCCAAGCUGCAGCUCACCCUGAUAUGA